GCAGGGAGGAGGAUGGUUCUGUUUGUCAUUGUCCCCUAAUGGCUGAGGCUUCUGAAACUCAUGCCUUCCCCCUCCUUCCUCGGGAAGGACGCUGGGUCUGUCACCCCUGGGCUCAACAGUCAUUUACUCUGGCUCCUUCUACUGUUUGGGAUCCUUACAUUCCGACCUGACAACUCCAAUGGAUACUAGCCACCACUGGAACUAUCUUCAAGGAUAUGGAGGUUUUUCAUACCUACCAGCACCUGAUCAUCAGCAACCCAAAAUAACACUCUGUGACCUCCUACAAUCAGUGGAGCUGGCUGCCUGCCCUACUCCUACUGCUCUACGAGAGACAGGGAAAGUACUUGGAGUUAACACUUGUGAUGUCAGCAGUUAUUUUAGACCAAUUACUGGAAUCAGAUCUUUCCAGACAGGAUAUAUUUACAACAGUGUCUAUAGUGCCUUACAAUAAACUGAUGGAUGAUUCAUGCUAUUUUUCGAACACAUCAGAAGUAAUCUGGAGCCACAGUGACAGCCGAACUAGACAUAAUUCUGCACAAUUUGCCACUUUACACAGGACUAAGGAGUUGAAAUAUUUUUUGAUUAAAAAAUGUUUUGUGAAGUUUUUCACUACAGCUUCUUCUGGUAGACUAGUUUCUUAAGACUUCGAAUGACAAUCCUGCAAAGAACAGCCAACUUCGUGUGCAGAAUGCCAUUUGUCUUAAAAAACCAACCAACCAAUAUUUCUCUUACUAAUUUUCAGAUAAUGGUUUGAAGGAGCCCACCCAACACAAAUCAAGGGAAGGGUCUUACUUUACGUACAAAAGGUCCCAGGUCCAGUCCCUGAUACCGGCAGAAUGGACUGCGAAUUGAAUAUGAAACCCUGGAGAACUACUGUCAGGCAUUACUGAGACCAACAGACCAAUGAUCUGACUGUAUAAGGCACCUUCCAAUGAUCUCAAGGAACAGCUCAUCACUUGAUGACUGUAAUGCUACAAAGAGAUUCCAGUCAUGGGAACCCAUCCCCAUUUUUUGAUAUAUUGAAACAUGCCUCUCUGAAUGCUCAAUAUAUGUGUAUCAGAUAUUAUUUUGUUUAUAUAUACGCUUCUCAAUUCCAAAAAGUUUUUCAAGAAACAACUCCAAAUGCUUAUAUAACAUGGCCAUCACCAAAGAGUUGUAAUCAGGACCAAUGUUAAACCUGAAUGAUCACAAAUCUCUUGUGACAAAGCCUUACACUCUUGUUUUUUCCUGCUCUCCUUGAGCAGGAAAAAUCAAUUCUUCAAAGACUCACACUGCAUUAUUGAUGUGAAUAUGGCAAACAAUGUCCAUAAUCCCAUUAACUGACCUCUAAAAGAAAUGUUAGCAAGUAUGUGAUAUUUAAUGACGAGAGAGUGAGCUCCUGCAAUGCCCUUCUUUAAACUUAUGCCUAGUUAGACAGCUCAAGGCUUAUCCUGGCACAUGGCCUAUUAAAACAGCUGUCAGUCAGGUGCUCAUGUAUUAUUCAGGAACUUCACAGGCUUUGUGGGCCAAAACCUCUCUUGUCUCUUCUUGCAUGCAUUAUCUAGUCAACUAUUCAAGUCAUUCAGCAUUCAGGUUACUAUGCAACAUGAGUUCCAAAAAAAGAACAGAAAAGAAAAAAAGAAGAACGAUUUCCUCCAGUUUAAAGAUGUAUGAUUGUUCGUACAAGAUUAGAUCAUCUUAAUCCAGCUACCAUUUUCAGGAAUCUAGCUAGUUCUGAGGUAGCACUUGUCAGUGAGAAGUGUCCAAUUUGACACCUAUACAUCCAUUUUCACCUGCCUCCCCAUCCUGACCAAUUAGUCAGAUGCCAAACCAUGCUUGCCCAAAUUCUAUUGAUGCAGCACUACUAGGAGCCCCUGUGAACCUCCCAAGCAAUUUUCUGUGUAAGACCACUGUUAAUGAAGGAGAGACUUCUCAAUACAUAUACUAGGUGACCUAGGUUUUUCAUUCACAUUCCAGAAUAUUUCGUGCCCUCUGCAAAAUAAAAAUAAAAAUCUCUCAAUCGCAAGUGAAUUAUCAGGAUUUACAAUACAGAAAAAGAUUGGCCCUUCUACUAGUUAAGUUGUAGAUACAUUUUGCUGUCAACAGCAUAGCAACAGGGUCGAGGGCAACUUCCAGUACUCUGGAGAUGUCUGAAUGAUGAGCUGGCCACAAUUGUUAAUAUCUUCCUAGAUAUACUAUCAUAAUCCUUCUACCUCCAACAGUAAAAUGCAAAUCCAUACAUUGUUCAGUGUGUGUGUGUGUGUGUGUGUGUGUGAGCCCCAUUGUAUUCUUUGCUUUUUAAAUAAAAGGCUGAGUUGGCAUUUUUACCAUCAGCUACCUGCCCUCAAGUCUGCCUGCAGCAUCUCCUGAACCCUCCCUCUGAAGGAAAAAGCCUGGAUUUUGACCAAUGUAAUGAACUGUCAAGGGGUCAGAAGAUGAUCCAAGGAUUCCUGAAGUACUGCAUCUUUAGGAUGAAUUUUAAUUGUUCUAAGCUACUUUGGGAAAAUCUUAGAUAAAAUGCGGGUUAUAAAUAUAAUAAGAGAGGUAGAGAGAAGGUUGGUAGAGAGAAGGUGGUGCUAAAAUGUUCACACAAUGAAUUGUAUCUGUCCCUGAGAACUAUUUUUUAAAAAUUAAAGAAAUGGAAGGUAUUUCAUUUACAACUGAAAA